rnacentral:rRNA from 2 species
UUUUCUGAAGACAGUUCUACUGGCUGGCUUCGCCGGCUGUAGACUGAAUAACUAAAGACAACUCUCAACAACGGAUAUCUUGGCUCCCGUAACGAUGAAGAACGCAGCGAAAUGCGAUACGUAGUGUGAAUUGCAGAAUUCCGUGAACCAUCGAAUCUUUGAACGCAAAUUGCGCUCGAGGCCUCGGCCUAGAGCAUGUCUGCCUCAGCGUCGGCUACUACCCUCAACUAAAUUUCAUUGGUGAACUCCGAUGAAAGGCAGUUGGAUCUGGCCGUCCGGUUUGCCUUUUGGGUUGCCGGUCAGCUGAAAUACAUUCACGCUUUAAGAGC